rnacentral:rRNA from 1 species
UCGCCUGUUUAUCAAAAACAUCGCCAAAAAAUUAUUUUUGGUAAAAUCUGCCCAAUGAUUUAAUUAAAUGGCCGCAGUAUAUUAACUGUGCUAAGGUAGCGUAAUCAUUAGUUUUUUAAUUGAAAACUCGUAUGAAUGAUCCGACGAGAAACUUACUUUUUCAAUAAUACUAAGAAUUUAAAAAUAGAGUUAAAAUUCUCUAAUAAUUUAAGAGGACGACAAGACCCUAUAAAGCUUUAUUUUAACACUUAUAAUCAAUACCUAAGAACCCUUAAAUAUAAGAUUAAAAUUAUACUGGGGCGGUAAAUUUUACCCUAAACAAAAUUUCCUAAAACAAUUUAUAUGAUCUUAACGAACGUGUAUUCAAAAAGAUAAGCUACUUUAGGGAUAACAGAGUAAUCUUUUUUACGAGUCCUUAUCUACAAAAAGGAUUACUACCUCGAUGUUGAAUUGAAGAACCUUUAUAAAGCAGCCAUUAUAAAAGGAAGUCUGUUCGACUUUUUAUUCUUCACAUGAUCUGAGUUCCAAACCGGA